rnacentral:rRNA from 1 species
UACGAGUGCCUCAAGCGUUAUCCGGAAUCAUUGGGCGUAAAGGUUGUGUAGGUGGUUAUAUUAGUCUUCUGUUAAAUUCUUCGGCUUAACCGGGGGCAUGCAGAGGAAACGGUAUAACUAGAGGAUGCGAGGGGUCUGCGGAACUCAUAGUGUAGCGGUGAAAUGCGUUGAUAUUAUGGGGAACACCAAAAGCGAAGGCAGCAGACUGGAGCACUCCUGACACUGAAACAAGAAAGCGUGGGUCGCGAAUGGG